CCUGCUACAAGCGCUACAGCUUCGCCCCCCGUGCAUGGCUGCAAGUGCAAACUAUGCGGCAAAAUGAUUGGAAGGUUGAGCACCUUGGGAAACCACGUAAUGAACCAACAUUACACAGCAAUAAGAGGAAAAAAAAAAGUGACCAUGUUAAGACUAUCAGAGGAAACUGGGGUGCCGGCCGAGUAUUUGAGGGCGAUAGUCAUGUGCAGCGAUGACUAUAAAAAAUUGGGUGCCGCUUGUGGGCCGACAAGACGGAUGCAGAGAAGCUGAAGGACAUCAACCAAUAACUGUUUCGUUUUUUAAUUUUAGUAUUUGGUUUG